GAUUGAACGCUGGCGGCAUGCCUUACACAUGCAAGUCGAACGGUAACAGGUCUUCGGAUGCUGACGAGUGGCGAACGGGUGAGUAAUACAUCGGAACGUGCCCGAUCGUGGGGGAUAACGGAGCGAAAGCUUUGCUAAUACCGCAUACGAUCUACGGAUGAAAGCAGGGGACCGCAAGGCCUUGCGCGGACGGAGCGGCCGAUGGCAGAUUAGGUAGUUGGUGGGAUAAAAGCUUACCAAGCCGACGAUCUGUAGCUGGUCUGAGAGGACGACCAGCCACACUGGGACUGAGACACGGCCCAGACUCCUACGGGAGGCAGCAGUGGGGAAUUUUGGACAAUGGGCGAAAGCCUGAUCCAGCCAUGCCGCGUGCAGGAUGAAGGCCUUCGGGUUGUAAACUGCUUUUGUACGGAACGAAAAGACUCUGGUUAAUACCUGGGGUCCAUGACGGUACCGUAAGAAUAAGC
rnacentral:rRNA from 1 species